AAGUCGUAACAAGGUUUCCGUAGGUGAACCUGCGGAAGGAUCAUUAAAGAGUAAGGGUCUUCGGGCCCGAUCUCCAACCCUUUGUUUAACUACCAUGUUGCUUUGGCGGGCCCGUCUCACGACCGCCGGAAGUUUGGCUUCGACCAAACUUCUGGCCCGUGCCCGUCAGUGGCCCCUUCAAAUUCUUGAUCAAGUAUGAUGUCUUAGUUAAAAACUUAAUAGUUAAAACUUUCAACAACGGAUCUCUUGGGUUCUGGCAUCGAUGAAGAACGCAGCGAAAUGCGAUAAGUAAUGCGAAUUGCAGAAUUCAGUGAGUCAUCGAAUCUUUGAACGCACAUUGCGCCCUUUGGUAUUCCGAAGGGCAUGCCUGUUCGAGCGUCAUUAUCAACCCUCAAGCCUGGCUUGCUGUUGGACCUCUCGUCGUUGAAGACGGGUCCUAAAGUUAAUGGCGGAGUCGUCUGGACCCUAGAUGCAACGAGCUCUCGUAGCACGCAUUUAAGGGGCUGGCGGCUCCAGUCUCAACCCAUAUCAUUUACAAGGUUGACCUCGGAUCAGGUAGGAAUACCCGCUGAACUUAA
rnacentral:rRNA from 1 species